GACGAACCGAGCGAACGUUGUUCGGAAUCACUGGGCUUAAAGGGCGCGUAGGCGGGCUGUCAAGUUUGGGGUGAAAUCCCGCGGCUCAACCGUGGAACUGCCUCAAAUACUGACGGUCUCGAGGGAGAUAGGGGCGAGCGGAACUGAUGGUGGAGCGGUGAAAUGCGUUGAUAUCAUCAGGAACUCCGGUGGCGAAGGCGGCUCGCUGGAUCUCUUCUGACGCUGAGGCGCGAAAGCUAGGGGAGCAAACGGG
rnacentral:rRNA from 1 species